CCGACACGACCGUACCGCAAACCGACACUGGUGCGCGAGAUGAGUAUUCUCAGGCGCUUGAGAGAACUCGGGAGAAGGAACUCGGCAAAUUGACACCGUAACUUCGGAAGAAGGUGUGCCUUUAGUAGGUGAAGUCCCUCGCGGAUGGAGCCCAAUGAGGUUGCAAAGAAUCGGUGGCUGCGACUGUUUAAUAAAAACACAGCACUCUGCAAACACGAAAGUGGACGUAUAGGGUGUGACGCCUGCCCGGUGCUGGAAGAUUAAGUGAUGGGGUGCAAGCUCUUGAUCGAAGUCCCAGUAAACGGCGGCCGUAACGAUAACGGUCCUAAGGUAGCGAAAUUCCUUGUCGGGUAAGUUCCGACCUGCACGAAUGGCGUAACGAUGGCCACACUGUCUCCUCCCGAGACUCAGCGAAGUUGAAAUGUUUGUGAUGAUGCAAUCUCCCCGCGGAAAGACGGAAAGACCCCAUGAACCUUUACUGUAGCUUUGUAUUGGACUUUGAACGGAUCUGUGUAGGAUAGGUGGGAGGCUUUGAAGCCGGGUCGCUAGAUCUGGUGGAGCCAACGUUGAAAUACCACCCUGGUGCGUUUGAGGUUCUAACCUAGGCCCGUAAUCCGGGCCGGGGACAGUGCAUGGUAGGCAGUUUGACUGGGGCGGUCUCCUCCCAAAGCGUAACGGAGGAGUUCGAAGGUACGCUAGUUACGGUCGGACAUCGUGACGAUAGUGCAAUGGCAUAAGCGUGCUUAACUGCGAGACUGACAAGUCGAGCAGAUGCGAAAGCAGGACAUAGUGAUCCGGUGGUUCUGUAUGGAAGGGCCAUCGCUCAACGGAUAAAAGGUACUCUGGGGAUAACAGGCUGAUACCGCCCAAGAGUUCAUAUCGACGGCGGUGUUUGGCUCCUCGAUGUCGGCUCAUCUCAUCCUGGGGCUGUAGCCGGUCCCAAGGGUAUGGCUGUUCGCCAUUUAAAGAGGUACGUGAGCUGGGUUUAAAACGUCGUGAGACAGUUUGGUCCCUAUCUUCCGUGGGCGCUGCAGAUUUGAGGAAGCCUGCUCCUAGUACGAGAGGACCGGAGUGGACGCACCUCUGGUGUACCUGUUGUCACGCCAGUGGCAUUGCAGGGUAGCUAAGUGCGGAAGAGAUAACCGCUGAAAGCAUCUAAGCGGGAAACUCGUUUCAAGAUGAGAUCUGCCGGGGCCUUGAGCCCCCUGAAGAGUCGUUCUAGACCAGGACGUUGAUAGGUCAGGUGUGGAAGCGCAGUAAUGCGUUAAGCUAACUGAUACUAAUUGCUCGUGCGGCUUGACCA
rnacentral:rRNA from 1 species